ACGAGUUGUUCGGCGCUCUUCUAUAUGACGUAACACAAGGCUAAACCUGAUCAUGGGGUGUGGCAGUUGCCUACCCUAUCGUGGUUUUCUGCAUUCACAGUAAUUAACAUGAGUCUGAGUGUAGCCUAUAGUUUAGUCCAUUAUAUACAGCUAAUUCAGUACACCGUGGGUGUGAAGUGCAUGGUUUCUACAAUGUGGCCAAUUCAAAAGGUCAGGCCUGCAAUACUGUGAGGUGCACCGCCCACAACGAUGCCAACCAGCUCCGCCGACUGGACUCCUAUGACCAUGCGGGCGUGGCAGAGCGCCUCUGCUCCUACACCAAGGUCCUCUUCGUAUGGGAGCCCUUAGAGGGGCUGGUUUCGGCCUUCCACGAUAAGUUUGAGAGCUCCAACUGGUACUACCACUCAGCGUUCGGCCGGCCCAUCAUCUCCCGGUACCGGGCCAAUGCCUCACUCUCCGCCCUGAGGACUGACGAUGGAGUCACCUUCAGGGAGUUUGUCCAGUACCUGUUGGAUGUGAGGUGACCCGUGGGCAUGGACAUCCACUGGACGCCGGUCAGCCAGCUCUGCAGCCCCUGCCUGCUGCACUACGACUUCAUCGGGAAGUUUCCCAACUUCCUGCUACAGAGCAUUGGGUGCCUGCCGACGUCAAGGCAGAAAGGACUGCUUCCACCAUUGCUCAGAUGUACUUUGAACAGCAUGGACAGACAGGGUCUGUAAACUUUACUACAUGGAUUAUCUGAUGGAUCUGAUCUGAUUAUCUACAUGGAGUAUCUGUUUAACUACCCCAAGCCCUUUCUGUACCGAGGUACUGGCUGGAGUGCCAGGUUGAGAUGAUUAAUUUGAGAUUGCGGGACUUGAAUAAGCACUACAGACACUGAUGUAUUUCUUAUUUAUGUCUGGUUACAAUUAUGAUUUGAUGUGAUUACUUUGAGCAUAGGUUGUACAAUUGUCUUUUUCUUCUCAAAUUCAUCAUAUCUAACUCGUAGUUAGUCUUGUCCCAUCGCUGCAACUUCCCUACGGACUCGGGAGAGGCGAAGGUAGAGAGCCGUGCGUCCUCCAAAACACGACCCUCCCAAGCCGCACUGCUUCUUGACACACUGCUCGCUUAACUCGGAAGCCAGCCGCACCAAUGUGCCAGAGGAAACACCGUCAAGCUGGCGACCAAUUGUGCGCCGCCUCAUGGUUCCCCUGUCACGGCCGACUGUGACACAGCCUAGGAUCGAACCUGUUUCUAUAGUAAUGCCUCAAGCACUGCGAUGCAGUGCCUUAGACCACUGCGCCACUCGUGAGGCCCCGUGGUUAUACAGCUUUUAGUCGUAACGCUUUUUAUAGUGUUAAAACUGAUGUACUUUUUGUCAAAUGCACUUUUAUUUACUGGCAUACAGCCUACAUACACAUCCUCUCAACAAACAACAAGAUAUCUCUUUCUACUUGUUUUGUAUUUUGCAUGCAAUAGACUUGUUACAAUAUAUUUCUAAAAUACAGAAACACAGGGAAAAUAUAUAGAGUUGAGUGGCAUAACUGUAUAAUAUCUCGGUUCAUCACAUAUGGCCUUCUAGAUGUAUCAUGAUAUUUGAAUCUGUUGGUAAUGUACAUUGAAACAUAUGUUUGAGGUUUUCUGGGUAAUUGUAUGGGCCUCAUUACAGUACAGAUGAUGACACUAAGUGUAAAGAGUUAAUGUACAAUUGUUCUACAUGUCUGUGCAGAAGUGUUGUAUGACAAAUGAUUUAAAUCCCCUAGCCUUAACACUGUCAAUAUACAUGUAUAUUUUUGUUUGGGUUUUCAAGCACCAUUACCUUGAUUAACAAGCCACUUCAACAAAACAUGUAUUUCUUGUUUUUCCACAUCUGGUUUAAGGAAGUGACAGAAAUAUGACAGUUUUAAUUCAUUUCAAAAUGUUCCGUGUACAAUAGAG